ensembl:snRNA U6 U6 spliceosomal RNA
GUGCUCUCUUCUGCAGCACAUACACUAAACUGGGAACAAUGCAGAGAAUAUUAACAAGGAGGAGAAUAUGAGCAAGGAGGACAUGCAAUUCAUAAAGUGUUCCAUAUUUUU